ensembl:misc_RNA Metazoa_SRP Metazoan signal recognition particle RNA
GCAGGGCGCAGUGGCAUGUGCCUGUAGUCCCAGCUACUCAGGAAGCUGAGGUGGGAGGAUCAUUUGAGCCCAGGAGUUCUGGACUGUAGUGCGCUAUGCUGAUCGGGUGUCUGCACUAAGUUCAGCAUCAAUAUGGUGACUUCCCGGGAGUGGGGGACCACCAGGUUGCCUAAGGAGGGGUGACCCCACCCAGGUCGGAAACGGAGCAGGUCAAAACUCCAGUGCUGAUCAGUAAUGGGAUCGCGCCUGUGAAUAGCCACUGCACUGCAGCCUGGGCAACAUAGCGAGACCCCGACUCUU